UAUAGUUAAUUCCUAAUUUAAAUCGUAUUAUUUUUUAUUUUUAACCAAACGUCGUAUCUUAUUGACGUGGAAGAAACAUCCGCGAUUCCUAUGAUUUAUGUUUAUACUCCUUGACAUACAAGCUCCUUGCGACGCCGAGUUCCACCCUGGCAUUUUUCUCGUCCCGCGACGUGUACAACGUCGCCAUUGCGUCGUGCGGACAACUCGAUUUCUCCGCUCUCAGACUACUUUUUAUUUGUCAUGUGACGCUUGACUCGUCUCAACAUCAACCACCCUAAAAUAAUAAUAAUGUAAGGAGAUAUUACAGUCUAUACAUUACACUCGUUUAUAUCCCGCUUGUCAUCUUCUAAGGUCAACUCUUUUUAAAACUGCAGCCUUCGUAGUCUUAAACGAUUACUCAGAACAUUGCUAAAACCAAACAUGCAGUCGAACGAUGGACGAUCAAAUUCCCGAUUCAUCUGACGAGUUCACCCAUAAUGUUAAUAACGAAAAUUAUACAAUACACAAUUGAACUUGGAAAUCACUAUUAAUUUACACAUCAAUCAUAAAUUCAAAACUUAAAUUAAGCCAAAGUUCUGUCAAAUCAUUUAUCUAUGAGAAAAAUUGUUCGGCAGUAGAUGCAGCAUUUCAAACUACUAUGGAGCAGCAGCAAACUCCACAAAAAUCAGUUGAUGACUUGGAGCACAUAAUUGGACGUUUAAAGAAUGAUUACUCAUUUCCAAGGAAAAAAUAGAUUAACUUGACAGAAAUAUUGACAAUAUGUGUGAACAAAAUAACAGGAUGAGUUUUCAUUGAAACCGGAUUGAACAAGUACACACUAUAAUUGCAAUCGAAAGGAAUUUAUACAAAGUCUUAUAAAAACAGCUCCUAUUUUGAAAUACAUUUAAAUAAACCAUGACAAAUAGUCGUGUUCAAUAGUAAGCUUCGUAAGUAGAGAGGUUUUAAGAACACUUUUAGUUGAGAAAUUCACUGAUAAUGAAUUUUUUCAAUUAAUAAUGAAUAGAUUAAUAACAGAAAACACGAGAAAACCUACUAUUAUAACUGGCAAACAUUUUGGUACAGAACAUGAUAUCACUGCUUAUGAAACUCUAGAUAGAUUAAUCCGUAUUUGUUAAAUUUCACUUGGAAUGUAAUAGCUAAUUAUCUACUUGAUAAUAACCAUAUUGAAACAAUAAUGCUUAUAGAUGACCCAGUAUAUCCGAAGAUUACAAUGGAUCUGUGUACAAAGUUCCUAGAAAUUGUUGCUGAAUCGAAACUUUAGAUAAAAUUCAAAUUCACCAUAGACAGUCAUAUAGAGUAUACUCUUUGCAAAGUGCUACUGAACCAGUUUUCUUGUAAAGUAAUAUUUUUGUUGCUAUUUAUAAUUUGAAAACUUGAUAAAAGAGAGUGUGAUUGGAGAAAACUUGAAUACUCUAAGCACAGAAUUAAAAAAUAUUGAAAAGUCAAAAGUAAAAAACUAACAAAACUUUGACAAUAAGUCUCAAUCGGAAACAAAAUUACCUAAGGCCAAGUACGACAAGACCGCUAUCGAAAACACAUGAAUUUAAAAGAAAAUGAUGACAAAAUGGCUGUUGUUACUGAAGAAAUAAAUUAUGUUGAUUUAUAAGUAGUCUAAGUCAAAGAAAUAAAAGAAGAAUCUAAUCCCCCCAAGAAUGCUUGUUCUACAUUACAAGAACGAAUUAAGAGCCUUCAGACUAAUGUGUAUUAUUUAUAACAGCAGAAACCACAUUAGAAACUAAUUACUUAGAGAAGAGAGGUGAAAAUCAUCUGGUCAUGAGAUAUAGGAAGAAGAAAAUGGAUUGGUGCUGAAAUUACAAAUACCAAAGGCCAGCUCAAAAUUAAUCCACAUCAACAAAAUGUGGUAUUGUGAUGUUUGAUAACGAUUAUGGAGGAACGUGCAAAAACCAUUUUAGUCCAAUGAUGAAGAUUAUGUACACAAUAUGGAUAAUGUUAAGUGAAUAGCAACUACUCAGCUGUUUAUUUCAGCUAUCGAAAAUCGUUAUGUUACAACAAUUUCAUAUUCCUCAUCUCACCCACAAGAUAUAUCACACAUACAAAAUCCUAAUAAUUUUAAGAUAAAUAAGUUUCAGAACCUAGAUAUUAAAACUUAGUGUUUAGUUUAUACUGUUGUAAUAGGUUAUUUAAGUAAUUAGAUUCUAAUGUUGUUUCAACUGUUAUAAAUAAUACAUUCUAGUCUGAACGCUCUUAAUUCCUACUAAUAAUGCAGAACAAGCAUUCUUGGGGGGAUUAGAUUCUUCAUUUAUUUCUUUGACCGUGACUACUUUUAAAUCAACAUCAUUUAUUUCUUCAGUAACAAUAGCUAUUCUGUCAUCAUUUUCUUUUAAGUUCAUGUGUUUUCGAUAGAUGUCUUGUCGUACUUGGCCUUGAGUAAUUUUGUUUCCGAUUGAGACUUAUUGUCAAAGUUUUGUUAGUUUUUUACUUUUGACUUUUCAAUAUUUUUUAAUUCUGUGCUUAGAGUAUUCAAGUUUUCUCCUAUCACACUCUCUUUUAUCAAGUUUUCAAAUUAUAAAUAGCAACAAAAAUAUUACUUUACAAGAAAACUGGUUCAGUAGCACAUUGCAAAGAGUAUACUCUAUAUGACUAUGUCUAUGGUGAAUUUGAAUUUUAUCUAAAGUUACGAUUCAGCAACAUUUUCUAGGAACUUUGUACACAGAUCCAUUGUAAUCUUCGAAUAUACUGGGUCAUUUAUAAGCAUUAUUGUUUCAAUAUGAUUAUUAUCAAGUAGAUAAUUAGCUAUUACGUUCCAAGUGAAAUUUAACAAAUACGGAUUAAUCUAUCUAAGAGUUUCAUAAGCAGUGAUAUCAUGUUCUGUACCAAAAUAUUUGCCAGUUAUAAUAGUAGGUUU